AUGUCCUUCCGUUCAACGCUUGCCGUCAACUUCUCUCCAAUACUCACUCUGUCGUUCUCAGUAUCACGCCAAUAUCGUCAACCGUCACGCUCACUUCCGCAAGCUGACUCAAUGCCUCUGUCCUCACACAACAAUAUUGCAUCUCCAGCCACCAUCGAAUAUCAGUCACCAUCAUCAUCAGCACCGCUUCAAGCAUCGUCUGCCGACGAGUUCUUUCGCCCUCUGUUCGUUCCUCACAACUCGACGUCAUAA